CAUGUUUGAUAUAGGCCUACAUGUUCCGUAAUCAAAAAUGUCAAUUCGGAGCCCCAGAGGCCAGACUAAAGGCUGCCCUGCCUGGUCAGCAGCCUGCGUGCUGGUGUGGGACGAUUAACGGGUCAGAGGAACACAACUCUGUCUGUUAUACCCAGACAAUAAGCCAUAGCUGGACCGAGCUCCCAUUGUGUUGCAUCAGGCUCAAACAGUCCAUCUCUAAUAUGUCAGCCAUGAAGCAGGGAAAUCUGCUGGUCGUCUGCAGAUGUUGUUCAAGUCGGUGAUGAUGAGGAGAACAUACAAGGUGUGGAUCCCUGUCAUGAACAUCUGUUGCUGGUUCACAUCGGCUGCUACAUCAAAUGGGACCACGAUGUAUAAAUGUUUCUUUGAAUGGGCGCAAGAGGAGGAUGAUUUGUAGUUCACCACUGUGUCCGUGCUUGCAU
ensembl:lncRNA